CCAUCUCUGAUCUCUGUGAGUUCUAGUUCUAGUUCUAGAACACAGGACUACAUAGUGAGACCCUCUCUCAAAGAAGAAAAGUAAGGAAGGGAAGAGAAGUGAAAGCAAGAGAAAAGAGAGUUAAUUGAGAUAUUUCAGUAAAGUGCUUCACACAGUGCUUGGUGGAAGGAUUGCUGUAAGGGCUAACAUCAUACACGCCAAAGGGAAGCAACAAGUGUUCUCAGAAGUCUCGGGGAUAAGUUGAAAACCCAGCCCAUUAUCAAAAACUCCAUUGAGGAUGAACUACACCAGAACUUCUCAGUCUGGGGCGCAACUUUCUUUCUGGACUGGUUGUCUCUGUAUGUGUAAGGGACACUGCAGCAUAUUCAGAAGCCUCUUCGGUCACUGCCCACUACCUGCUGAUAGCAGCAUCCACACAGGGGCAACAAGCAAACAUGUCUAAACAUUACCAAAUGAGGACAAUGACAGUUCAUCGGCCAGCUCGCGGAACUCCAAGAUGUUGCUGGGAAGCAGCAAGGCUUACUCUUGAGGAAUUAAGAACUCUGGAAUGUAUAGUCUGUGUCGACCUUGGGUGAAUAAUGCCCUAGUAACUGACACCUGGAAUUCUGAAACACUAAUUAAUGAAGACCUUUUUAAAAGUUGUGGAAUGCCCAAUCCCAGUCAGAAGAAGCAGCGUUAUAAACGUGUCUACAACUUCUGUCGUCAUAGUUAAUCAGUAAGGACACAAGCAUGUGAAUUAAUCUGCGGUUCUCCCUUCAUUGAAAUAAUGUUUUGUGAGUUUUGGUUACCUCUGUACCAUGCACAUAAAGCUAUGAUGGUGUUUGUUCCUUGAACAUUUAUAUUAACUUCAAAAUUCAUCUUACCACACAAAUUGGCAAAUUUCAUUGCAGUUCUCAAAUAGGGUGCAAGGUGGGGUUUCUAAGUUAAAAUAUAAAUAAAGGGAUCUGAAAGUC